rnacentral:lncRNA from 1 species
AUUGGCUGGUGAUUGACAGUAGCUCUGCUUUUUGGGCCAGGUGACUCCAGAGUCUUCCUCCAAACAACACCUGUACCUUUUGGUGACUGAAGGGCAGUAUCUACUAGUGCCACCAUGUACUUUUUUGGAAUGCAUCUUACUCAUACUGUGGAAAUACCUUGCUCAUGAUGGACAUGAAGAGGCAAGUCUGGUGUAUGGGGGUGCAUCUGUGCUCAAUAUAAACCUGUCACAUUAUUGGCAUUUUGUCUGAAAUUUGUGUAGUAGAAAGCCUUCAGCCAGCUUCCCCAGGCAUCCUCUCACAAGGAUUUCAAGGCUCCUAAAGCAUAAACGAGAGCUGGUUUUAUGAGUCUCAUUGAUUCCUAUCCUCCAUCCAUCCAUAACAACAUCCAGAGCAGUAGCUUCGACAUCCUUUUCCACAACAAUGUGUGCACUUCUGCAAUGCUGGUGUGUCUCUCUAUGAGUGUGUGUCUCUAUGGAUGUAUUCACUAGGUAGGUGUAAAUAUGUAAGCACAUUUCUACUCUGCCUGACCUCUUCUGGUAAUGACAUUACCAGCUCAAGACUUACACCUAUUUCUUUCAAAACGAUGAUUUUCCCCACAGUUUCCUAAGGGAAAGGGAAAUUUAGUUUGACUUAUUAUACUGCCACAGGUACACAUACCUCAUUUUUGCAUGCUCAGAGUAUAUUUUUGCAGUAACCUUCAGAGACAGGGAAAGGGGUGGAGGAUCAUGCAGCCAGCACGAACCAGCUGCCCUUCUGUGCCCUUAAUAGCCCACUUGUCCUCUUGGAGUGGUGAGCACCUCUGAACCUCAAGGAUCCCAAGAGAAUUUGCCACAAUGUUCUUUCAUUAUAUUGUCCUCCACAGGAUUUAUCAAGCCUGUUAAUGUUAGUGACAGAGACAGCUCUCCAGCUGCAUUAGCAUCUAUGUCAAAGUAGGCAGAUACUUCAUGGGAUACCACUGUGUAGGUAGUUCAAGAUGUCUCAGAGAAGUUAAAGCUUCCUGGGCCUGACAAAGCUUGUAGCAAAGGACAGAGACACAAAAUCAGAUGCCUCUUCUAAGUUCACACAUGUAAAAGUGACAACCUGAUGAAUGUUUCAUAAUUUAUAUUUAUUCUUUCCCUCUCACCUCAUAAUAUGGAGUAUAUAUAUCAACUAAUCUUUGUGAAAAUAAGUCUGGGCUAUAAAGAAAUAGCUAGAAUGCUAUUGAAAUGUUGAAAUGCUCUCUCCUUCAUAUAUCUCCUAAUUUAAAGAC